rnacentral:rRNA from 1 species
GAUGAACGCUGGCGGCGUGCCUAAUACAUGCAAGUCGAGCGAACGGACGAGAAGCUUGCUGCUCUGAUGUUAGCGGCGGACGGGUGAGUAACACGUGGAUAACCUACCUAUAAGACUGGGAUAACUUCGGGAAACCGGAGCUAAUACCGGAUAAUAUUUUGAACCGCAUGGUUCAAAAGUGAAAGACGGUCUUGCUGUCACUUAUAGAUGGAUCCGCGCUGCAUUAGCUAGUUGGUAAGGUAACGGCUUACCAAGGCAACGAUGCGUAGACGACCUGAGAGGGGGAUCGGCCGCAUGGGAACUGAGACACGGACCAGACUCCUACGGGAGGCAGCAGUAGGGAAUCUGCCGCAGUGGGCGAAAGCCUGACGGAGCAACGCCGCGUGAGUGAUGAAGGUCUUCGGAUCGUAAAACUCUGUUAUUAGGGAAGAACAUAUGUGUAAGUAACUGUGCACAUCUUGACGGUAACGAAUAAGAAAGCCACGGCUAACUACGUG